AAUUGUCAUUGUUCAAUUCAGCCUUGCAUGCUGCCCGUUCAGACAUACACAAUGUGAGACUGCGGACGGCUCAUUUUAUCAGUUAUAAUCUGCUCGAUUGUCCAGGUUAGUGGAUAACCGUGGGAAAUCUAGAGCUAAUACAUGCACCUCUGGCAGUCUCGCGACUGUCGUGGCAUUUAUUAGAGCGAUACCGACCGUGUGAGCAAUCACGCGAGGUGAAUCUAGAUAACUGUGCAGAUCGUACGGCCUUGACCUGACCACAUUUCGAUUGAAUUUCUGCCCUAUCAACCAAUCGCAAGUGUAAGGUACUUGCGAAGUGACUACGGGUAACGGGGGAUCAGGGUUCGAUUCCGGAGAGGGAGCCUGAGAAACGGCUACCACAUCCAAGGAAGGCAGCAGGCGCGCAAAUUACCCAAUCCAGACAAUGGGAGGUGGUGACGAAAAGUACCGGGUGGCGACUAUGUUGCCAGCCUGGAAUGAAUGCAAUUUAAGCAAUUGAAUUGAGAAACGACUGGAGGGCAAGUCUGGUGCCAGCAGCCGCGGUAAUUCCAGCUCCAGUAGCCUAUCUCAAAGUUGCUGCGCUUAAAACGCUCGUAGUUGGAUCACGCACUGUGCGGAGGUGUGUCACUGCGUGCGACGCGGCUCAAUUUGCAGUUGGCUGGGUCGAAGUCACGGUGACUAUGAGCCACCGCACAGUAAUUGCACGUGAGGAUGGCAGUUGGCCUUGAGUGCGUCGACAGUCGUGUCUCACGGGGUGUGCCUUGAGUAAAUCAGAGUGCUCAAAGCAGGCGAAUGCCUGAAUGUUGAUAGCAUGGAACGAACAAUCGUGUAGGGUGUGUGCUGGUUGAGGUGCGUCGCGAGACCGCCGCAGCACACGACACCGACCGCCGGCGCCGGAUGUUGGUUCCGCGUUGGGGUAGAGAUUAAGAGGAGCGGUUGGGGGCAUUGGUAUUUGGCAGCGAGAGGUGAAAUUCUUGGACCUGCCAAGGACUAACAAAUGCGAAGGCAUCUGUCCAGACCGUAUCCAUUAAUCAAGAACGAAAGUGAGAGGUUCGAAAGCGAUCAGAUACCGCCCUAGUUCUCACUGUAAACGAUGCCGACCCGGGAUCAGUUUGGAGCCAUUUUCCACGCUCGAGGUUGGUCCCCCUGGGAAACUUGAAGUUUUUCGGUUGCGGGGGGGAGUAUGGUCGCAGGCUGAGACUUAAGGAAUUGACGGAUGGGCACCACCCCGGGUGGAGCCUGCGGCUUAGUUUGACUCAACACGGUAAAACUUAGCCUGGUCAGACGUCAUAAGAUAGACGAACUAACAGAUCCCUUUCUUUGAUUAUGUGUUGU
rnacentral:rRNA from 1 species